GGUUCGUAAGAGCAUUAAAAUCUUUAUAAUGGAAUAUCUGAAACUAGCAUCUAAACAUUACAGUAGUUACUGGCCCAAAAUUUUGGCAACUUGGUCUUGACUUGAUUAAUUUGUGUCAAAGUGGAUGGCAUU